CUGGUGCCAGCAGCCGCGGUAACUCCAGCUCCAGUGGCAUAUAUUAAAGUUGUUGCAGUUAAAAAGCUCGUAGUUGGAUCUGGGUCGGAUGGCUGUGCGCCGUGCUUGCGUUCUCGGUCUGGUUUUGCCGGGUCGGGUCGGUGAGUCGGUGUCGCGGUCGUUCGGUCUUUCUGCUGUGUCUGUGAAAACAGGUGCUGACAUUUGUUGGCAUGCUCCCGUGUGCCCUUCAAUGGGUGUCGGGGGUGGACGGCAUGUUUACUUUGAACAAAUUUGAGUGCUCAAAGCAGGCCCAUGUGCCUGAAAAGUUUUGCAUGGAAUAAUGGAAUAGGACUUCGGUCUUAUUUUGUUGGUUUUCGGAUCCGAAGUAAUGGUUAAGAGGGACAGACGGGGG
rnacentral:rRNA from 1 species